UGCAUGAAUGUUUGUGUGUGGGUAGACAUGUAUAUGUGCGUUGAGUAUAAAUGUGAAGCCUCCUCCUCUAUGCCUUCUUACUUCUGAGUCCAACACCACAAUCUUUACUUUCUCUCUUUUGAUUUCAAAAAAAGAAACGUACGAUAGAACUUUCUCAUGGAGUCACCAAGCCUUCCGAUGACGGCGCAAGACUGGACCACCACUAAUCUCC
rnacentral:lncRNA from 1 species